GAGAGAGAGAUCAAGGCAUUAAUUGCCAAAUAUUUCAUAAGAUUCUCAAAUCCUCUUUAAAGAUUCACAAAUCUUUUAUAAGAUUACCAAGAUCAUUUCAUAUCUUGCAAAUUCCUCUCUCUCCUUCUCCCCUAACUUUCGACCACCACCUCUCUCCCCUUCAUCUCUCUACUUUCCACCAUUUUCCUCCAUUGAUGCACCUUCGGAGCUUCACAAAUUCAUACCAAAACUCAAAUCACCCUCUAAAUCCACCUUAAACACCUUCCAUCUCCUUAGAUUCAAGAAGAUCCAUGGAGAUUCAAUCUUGAAGUUAGUGAGAGAAAAUUUGAUAUUUGGUGUAAACUUGGACACGAGCAGAGCAGGGAAGUAAGUAACUCCGCUUUGACGGGAGUUUUUGAGUAAGGUCUUCAGGCUAAGCGAGGAGUGAGAUUGGUCUGGUGCUGGUGGGGGAUCGUUAGAUGACGUAUUUACUUUAUCGUAUUUCCUUUUUAUCGAUAAAGUCUUGAUGUGAAGUUACUUUGAAUAUGAAUCAAGUAAUAUACUCACGGUUAUGUGUCUCCAUACAUGUAACCGGUUCGCCUUUUGCUGCGAUACUCUGCAUAUUAUGUUUCCUUAUGAAAAAUAAGCUAUACCUGUUUUGUUUUUUAUCAUGAAAUUCCUGUUAAUUAAAAAGUUAUAACGACGUUGACGAUUUUACCCUUGGGAUCAUUUAUGAUGAUUUUCCCUUAAGCAUUCUUUGAUGUAAGCU